rnacentral:rRNA from 1 species
ACGCUCGACACCUACAGGAGGCAGCAGUGGGGGAUAUUGCACAAUGGGGGAAACCCUGAUGCAGCGACGCCGCGUGAAGGAAGAAGGCCUUCGGGUUGUAAACUUCUGUCGUACGGGACGAUAGUGACGGUACCGUACAAGAAAGCCACGGCUAACUACGUGCCAGUAGCCGCGGUAAUCUGAGCGGGCUGGCAAGGC